rnacentral:rRNA from 1 species
GAGCUCGAUGAGUAGGGCGGGACACGUGGUAUCCUGUCUGAAUAUGGGGGGACCAUCCUCCAAGGCUAAAUACUCCUGACUGACCGAUAGUGAACCAGUACCGUGAGGGAAAGGCGAAAAGAACCCCGGCGAGGGGAGUGAAAAAGAACCUGAAACCGUGUACGUACAAGCAGUGGGAGCCCCACCACUAAGCCAGUGGUGAACUCCACAUACGCAUCCUUUGCUGAGGAUACGGUUAACGGAGCGAAAGCGACGUUCAACCGCAAAAGAAGCAGAGGGGGCUUAGUGGUGGGGUGACUGCGUACCUUUUGUAUAAUGGGUCAGCGACUUAUAUUCUGUAGCAAGGUUAACCGAAUAGGGGAGCCGGAGGGAAACCGAGUCUUAACCGGGCGUUAAGUUGCAGGGUAUAGACCCGAAACCCGGUGAUCUAGCCAUGGGCAGGUUGAAGGUUGGGUAACACUAACUGGAGGACCGAACCGACUAAUGUUGAAAAAUUAGCGGAUGACCUGUGGCUGGGGGUGAAAGGCCAAUCAAACCGGGAGAUAGCUGGUUCUCCCCGAAAGCUAUUUAGGUAGCGCCUCGUGAAUUCAUCUCCGGGGGUAGAGCACUGUUUCGGCUAGGGGGCCAUCCCGGCUUACCAACCCGAUGCAAACUGCGAAUACCGGAGAAUGUUAUCACGGGAGACACACGGCGGGUGCUAACGUCCGUCGUGAAGAGGGAAACAACCCAGACCGCCAGCUAAGGUCCCAAAGUCAUGGUUAAGUGGGAAACGAUGUGGGAAGGCCCAGACAGCCAGGAUGUUGGCUUAGAAGCAGCCAUCAUUUAAAGAAAGCGUAAUAGCUCACUGGUCGAGUCGGCCUGCGCGGAAGAUGUAACGGGGCUAAACCAU